AAGGAUUUGAAGCUAUUCAGAAUCUGAAGCCAAAUUCCAGGUGUGCCGAGAAGAUUAAGGGCCUUAAUAAACGCUAUACACAAAUCAAGAGGAAACAGGCAUGCAAGGUAGGUGGUGUAUUCCUAUAAAUAUCAAAUACAAACAAGAGUUUAUAUAUUUAUAAUGCUUAACAAACACAGCUACAUUAUUAUGCGCCAUUUGUAUUUCUAAGUCUUGCCCUUAUAUCUUUCUAAUUUCUAUUUAGUUCUACACUUAUUAGCAGUUCAUACAAUUCUGCAACAGUUUUUGUAUGAAAUCUGGAUGUCUGUAUUAAUUUCUCAAAUGGGGUUAAUUUUCUAGUUAUUUUUUCUUUUAAUAGCUUUUUUUUACUGAAGAAGUAACAUUUAAGAGGUUUUGUCAUAGUAGUAAACUGAAGACAGUAAAUGGUACAAAAAUAAAAGCCACCCAGGAAAUGGCCUCUUCAGAAGUGGCUCCCGCAGUUAGCCUUCUCAGACGGGCUCACCUAGUGUCAUAUUUGUGGUAUUUUCAGCAUGAGGUAAAGACUUUUCUGUUCACCCAGACCUUUUACAUAUUUAAGGAAUCUGGGUGCCUGUUUUUUAAAAUCUAUUUUUAAUUUUAAACUUCUAAAAGCGUAAAAGAAAUCUAUUAUCUUAAUAACUAGCAUCCUAGGGAAGGCCCACAUGAAUUCCAGAACAGUGAGAUAGUCCCCAAUAAUGCCUGUUCAUAUGGUUUUGAAGGACAAAGAUGGUGUUCUCUCUUUUUUAAAAAAUGAUUUUUCAGGUUUAUACCUUUCAAAAAUUUUACAGUCAUUUUACAGUCAUUUUUAGUAUUUUCUGCAUCUCCAAAUUAACUUAAUUUGUUACGUUGAGAAAGAUGGUGUUCUGUAGUGGGGGGAAAGGAGCGUGAUGGUCUGUCAUGUUGAGCAUGUGAAGUCCUGGCUUCACCAUCAAACUACUGGUUGCAAUAAGAUGCUAAAUACAGUAUAUGGGAUUUAUGUAAAUUGAAAGUGGUAAAAUCACCAUGGUGGCCAAAGGGAAGGCCACUCUGAUAAAACUACUUGAAACAACCCUUCCACACUUGCCAUCAAUGCAGCAGCUUGGUCCUAUUAUUAUUCACUCAGAAGCAAGCACCAGGAAGUUCGGUGGAACUUAUUCUCAGGUAAAUGUGCAAAGAAUAACAACCUGUUGUUUUACCUAUCAUAAACCCCAGGGACCAUUUUAUUCGCUGUCUUCAGAGAAAGAAUGUCCCUGUAUAGGGAAGUUUUUAAUAUUUGAUGUUUUAUUGUGUUUUUGAUAUUUUGCUGGAAGCUGCGCUGAGUGGCUGGGGCAACCCAAUCAGAUGGACGACAUUAAUUAUUAUUAUUAUUAUUAUUAUUAUUAUUAUUAUUAUUAUUAUCCUGUGUAUGCCUAGUGAUUAUCCAGUUUUCUAAACACCAAAAUCAUGCACAGAGUGAGCAAUUGUAUAUUUCCUUUUCCAAAAUACAGUACUUCAGAAUGCUUCGCAUCCUUUCAACAUCUCUGCAAAGUGGCCUCAUGUUACCAUCAACAUAGUUCAGAUGGGGACUAUGACUGAAAAAUGUGACCUAAAUCCACUUGAUGCCUGUUUUCUCUACAUCCAUGGCUCGAAAGUAGUGCACACACAAUGUUAGCCACAAUCUAUAUCGAGCCUGUCAUUUCUUAUGAAAUGCUGCAUUUUGCAUCUUUUCCCCAACUCGUUUUGAUCAGAAUUGAGAAAAAAUGCUCUAGGUAUGUUUUAAGCUGUACCCAGUUUUGGAAAGAUUGUGGGCGGGCCGAGAGAAUAACCUGGGAACUUCCUGACUGAUAAUCAAAGGCAUUCAUCACUACAUCACACUAUUUCUGUUCUCUUUCGCUAAGCCAGGAAGGGAAAGUAAAAAGCACUUGAAUUUCCGUGUGCAAUAAAUCUGUCCUUUAAACUUGCUUGAUAAAAUGUAUUAGACCAUUCAUCAUGGUUUUUUUCCCCUCUUCCACAGCCUGUAAUCUGCAACACAAUGUGUGACAACUCCACUAGCGGAGAUACGGGGAAAUUUUUCAGCGAGGCUAUAGAACAUCUUCAAGCAGUAACACGGGAGAACAUGAGGUCAAUCUCAAAUUAGUAUUUACUGUAUUUGACACAUAAGGCC